GAUGAACGCUAGCUACAGGCUUAACACAUGCAAGUCGAGGGGCAGCGCAGUGUAGCAAUACAUGGGCGGCGACCGGCGCACGGGUGCGUAACGCGUAUCCAACCUUCCCGUUACUCAGGGAUAGCCUUCCGAAAGGGAGAUUAAUACCUGAUGGUGUUCAAAUUUCGCAUGUUAUUUGAAUUAAAGAUUUAUCGGUAACGGAUGGGGAUGCGUGACAUUAGGUAGAUGGCGGGGUAACGGCCCACCAUGCCUACGAUGUCUAGGGGUUCUGAGAGGAAGGUCCCCCACACUGGAACUGAGACACGGUCCAGACUCCUACGGGAGGCAGCAGUGAGGAAUAUUGGUCAAUGGUCUGACGACUGAACCAGCCAUGCCGCGUGAAGGUCACGGCCCUAUGGGUCUUAAAACUUCUUUUGUAAAGGGAGCAAUAAGUCUCACGUGUGGGAUGAUGAGAGUACCUUACGAAUAAGCAUCGGCCAACUCCGUGCCAGCAGCCG
rnacentral:rRNA from 1 species